UGCAGAGGUCUCAAGCGUUGUUCGGAUUCAUUGGGCGUAAAGGGUGCGUAGGCGGCGCGGUAAGUCGGGUGUGAAAUCUUGGAGCUUAACUCCGAAACUGCAUUCGAUACUGCCGUGCUUGAGGACUGGAGAGGAGACUGGAAUUUACGGUGUAGCGGUGAAAUGCGUAGAUAUCGUAAGGAAGACCAGUGGCGAAGGCGGGUCUCUGGACAGUUCCUGACGCUGAGGCACGAAGGUCAGGGGAGCAAACGGG
rnacentral:rRNA from 1 species